GGCUCAGAACGAACGCUGGCGGCGUGCCUAACACAUGCAAGUCGAGCGAGAAAGUUCCCGCAAGGGGAUGAGUACAGCGGCGAACGGGUGAGUAACACGUGGGCAACCUACCCCUCAGUCAGGAAUAACCCCGCGAAAGCGGGGCUAAUACCAAGAUGACGUCCCUUGGGGGCAUCCUCGGGGGACCAAAGGGGGCGAGCGCAAGCGGCUCUCGCUGAGGGAUGGGCCUGCGGCUGAUUAGCUAGUUGGUGGGGUAACGGCCCACCAAGGCGACGAUCAGUAGCCGACCUGAGAGGGUGACCGGCCACACUGGGACUGAGACACGGCCCAGACUCCUACGGGAGGCAGCAGUGGGGAAUAUUGCGCAAUGGGCGAAAGCCUGACGCAGCGACGCCGCGUGGGUGAUGAAGGCCUUCGGGUCGUAAAACCCUGUCGGGUGGAACGAAUUUCCGCCACGCUAAUACCGAGGCGGAUUGACGGUACCACCGAAGGAAGCCCCGGCUAACUACGUGCCAGCAGCCGCGGUAAUACGUAGGGGGCGAGCGUUGUUCGGAUUUACUGGGCGUAAAGAGCGCGUAGGCGGUUCGAUAAGUCGGAGGUGAAAUCCCUCGGCUCAACCGAGGACCCGCGUCCGAUACUGUCGAACUUGAGUGCAGGAGAGGAGAGCGGAAUUCCCAGUGUAGCGGUGAAAUGCGUAGAUAUUGGGAGGAACACCGGUGGCGAAGGCGGCUCUCUGGACUGUUACUGACGCUGAGGCGCGAAAGCUAGGGGAGCAAACGGGAUUAGAUACCCCGGUAGUCCUAGCCGUAAACGAUGGGCACUAGGUGUGGGAGGUAUCGACCCCUUCCGUGCCGCAGCUAACGCAUUAAGUGCCCCGCCUGGGGAGUACGGCCGCAAGGGUGAAACU
rnacentral:rRNA from 1 species